rnacentral:tRNA from 1 species
GCACCCGUAGCUCAAUUGGAUAGAGUACCAGACUACGAAUCUGGUGGUUGGAGGUUCGAUUCCUCCCGGGUGUACCA